GACCUCGGAUCAGGUAGGGAUACCCGCUGAACUUAAGCAUAUCAAUAAGCCGGAAGGAA
rnacentral:rRNA from 1 species